GGCAGAAGACUGUGGGUGUGAGGUUACGAAGACACCGUCUUGGUUUCAGUCUUUCAGACAGACCCGGGCGAAAUGGCUGGUUGUAAAGUUCAGCUGGAUUUUUCAGACUCUAGAUGUUCUUCAUGUGCAAGCCAUCCAUAUUAUAUCAUCCUGGGUCUGAUUCUUGUUCACUACGCUACACUCUCCAUGCAUUCUCAAGUAUCUCCAGAGAAGUGCAAGGUAAA